GAUGAAGAACGUAGCGAAAUGCGAUACGUAAUGUGAAUUGCAGAAUUCAGUGAAUCAUCGAAUCUUUGAACGCACAUUGCGCCCGCCAGCACUCUGGCGGGCAUGCCUGUUCGAGCGUCAUUUCAACCAUCAAGCCCCAGGCUUGCGUUGGAGCCCUGCGGCUGCCGCAGCCUCCUAAAAGCAGUGGCGGGCUCGCUAUCACACCGAGUGCAGUAGAUUACUCUUCGCUCAGGGCGUGCAGCGGGUUCCGGCCGUGAAACCCCCUACUUUUAAAGGUUGAUCUCGGAUCAGGUAGGAAUACCCGCUGAACUUAAGCAUAUCAAUAAGCGAGGA
rnacentral:misc_RNA from 1 species